GACGAACGCUGGCGGCGUGCUUAACACAUGCAAGUCGAACGGAAAGGCCCUGCUUUUGUGGGGUGCUCGAGUGGCGAACGGGUGAGUAACACGUGAGUAACCUGCCCUUGACUUUGGGAUAACUUCAGGAAACUGGGGCUAAUACCGGAUAGGAGCUCCUGCUGCAUGGUGGGGGUUGGAAAGUUUCGGCGGUUGGGGAUGGACUCGCGGCUUAUCAGCUUGUUGGUGGGGUAGUGGCUUACCAAGGCUUUGACGGGUAGCCGGCCUGAGAGGGUGACCGGGCACAAUGGGACUGAGGUACGGCCCAGACUCCUACGGGAGGCAGCAGGGGGGAAUAUUGCACAAUGGGCGGAAGCCUGAUGCAGCGACCCCGCGGGCGGGAUGACGGCCUUCGGGUUGUAAACCGCUUUCGCCUGUGACGAAGCGGGAGUGACGGUAAUGGGUAAAGAAGCACCGGCUAACUACGUG
rnacentral:rRNA from 1 species